GAGUUUGAUCGUGGCUCAGAUUGAACGCUGGCGGCAUGCCUUACACAUGCAAGUCGAACGGCAGCACGGGAGCUUGCUCCUGGUGGCGAGUGGCGAACGGGUGAGUAAUGCAUCGGAACGUAUCCUGGAGUGGGGGAUAACGUAGCGAAAGUUACGCUAAUACCGCAUAUUCUGUGAGCAGGAAAGCGGGGGGACCUUCGGGCCUCGCGCUCUUGGAGCGGCCGAUGUCGGAUUAGCUAGUUGGUGAGGUAAAGGCUCACCAAGGCGACGAUCCGUAGCAGGUCUGAGAGGAUGAUCUGCCACACUGGAACUGAGACACGGUCCAGACUCCUACGGGAGGCAGCAGUGGGGAAUUUUGGACAAUGGGGGCAACCCUGAUCCAGCCAUGCCGCGUGAGUGAAGAAGGCCUCGG
rnacentral:rRNA from 3 species